rnacentral:rRNA from 1 species
GNAGGGAGCAAGCGUUAUCCGGANUUANNGGGUGUAAAGGGUGCGUAGACGGGAAGACAAGUUGGUNGUGAAAGCCCUCGGCNCAACUGAGGAACUGCAACCAAAACNAUCAUNCUUGAGUGCAGGAGAGGAAAGCGGAAUCACCGGUGUAGCGGUGAGANGCGUAGAGAUCGGUAGGAACACCAGUGGCGAAGGCGGCUUUCUGGACUGAAACUGACGCUGAGGCGCGAAAGCGUGGGGAGCAAACAGGAUUAGAUACCCUGGUAGUCCACGCGGUAAACGAUGAAUGCUAGGUGUAGGAGGCAUCGACCCCUUCUGUGCCGCAGUAAACACAAUAAGCA